rnacentral:lncRNA from 10 species
GAAGACUCUUUUCUCUGUAUCAUUGAAUCCCAGGAUGGUGACGCUGGGCAGGAGGAGGCCACACCUGAAAGCAACCAGGUUACAGUUUCCUGAGAUCAACUGCGGUCUGAAAAUCGAAGUCUUCAAUCAACACAACUGAGCUGAGACUCCUCUAGAAGAGAGCUAUCAGGGUCCUGACAGACAGCUGGUGAGGUGCAGAAUGACAUGAGUGAGGGGCUUGGCGCUGACGUGAAGGUUGAGGAGGCAGUCACCGGAACCCCACGCAGGCUAGAGCUGUGACCGACAGAAACGACGAUGUGUGUUCCUAGAGGCUUAGGCAGUGCCAGAGAAAUCACUCAGUGCCAGCUGGCUCCUGCAUGAAUGCUUCUCUAGACAAGCUGACCUUUGCUACUUAGUAGGGUGUACGUUGCCUCUAAGCCCAUUUCCAAUUUACUGACACCUGGUGGAUUUUUAUUCACCACUGAGCUCUGGCCCGAAGAGAGCUGCCAAACGUCCUAGGCCAUCCAUUCACUCAGCACUUAUAAUCGUGAUAGUCACCACCCAUGAAAGCUUUAGGACCUGUUUCAGAGAGUCAUCCUUGGCCAAACCUUCAUGUGGGCAGCUACCACCCACCACACCAGCCCCUCUUCCAGAUCAGACCUCAGCAAACCUGACUGGCCUAGGGAUACAGAAGACCAGCCUCUUGCGUCCACGUGGGACCAAGUCUGCAGUGUGACUUGUGCUCCAGAACUCUCCCACAGGCUCAGCCUGAAGUCAGGCUCCAGCGAAGCCCAUCCCUGCCUGGCUUCUCUCCACAGUCCUAUUCUGCUGCCCUGACUCCUCUUCCCUAAGGGCUAUUGCCCAGCGAAGCCCAUGGUCUCAGACUGGGCUUCAAAGAAACCUGACUCCAUGUUAGCAUCUUCUGCGGAGUUUUAUAAAAACACAUACACCUGAACUUAACCACCUAGACUUACUGAGCCAGAAGCUAUAGAGCUUCAAGAGUGGGAACCAGACAACUGUAUGCUUUAAAGCCUAAUAGAUAUUUCUAAUUCACCAGUUUAUCUCUCAACUUUUCAUUUUGAAAAUGCCAAACUUACAGAAAUAAUGAAAGUAUAAUGUAGUGAUAAAUAUCUACAUACUCAGCAUCUAGAUAUACCAAUUAUUAAUAUUUUGCUCCAUUUUCCUCUCUCUCUCUCACAUAUCAAAAAUAAUUUGCAAGUAAAUUGUAGACAUUAUGACACUUUAUCCUUCAGUUCUUCAGCAGAUAUUAUCCAAGAAUAAAGACAUUCUCCUACAUAACCCCAGUGUCAUAAUCACCCACAGGAAAUUAAUACUAACUUGUUAACAUCCCCAGAGCAUACAGUCCAUAGUUAAGAUGUACCCUCUGUUUUAGGCCAAAGGUGGCAAUUUUCUCAACUUUAGACUCAACAGAAGUUUGGAGAAGGGAAAAAUCUGUAUGAGUUGAAUAGAAAGGAAAAUACUUCAUGGAGGAAAGAGGAUAAGAAUUGGGCUGUGAAGGAUUGACAUUAGAAAGAAGGGGUGGAGCAAAUGCUCAGAUAGAAGCAGGUAAAUACCUAUGCAAACAUGCAGACAUGGGCAUUGGAAUUGCCUUUUGUGGGAGGAGAAGACUGAGCAGAAUUUGUGGACUAGGAUAGGUAGGCUGUGCAGCUGGACAGGCCUCAUGCAAUCUGAGUACAGAGAAAUUGCCAAUCCAAGCAAUCAAAAAAACAGUGGCCACACACCAAGAAACGUUAAAGGUGACUGCACUUAGGAGAGUGGCAUCAGAUUUGUGGGACACAUUCAGGUGAAUUCUAGUCAGGACCAUGGCAAAGCAUUUGGGGUCAGAAUUAAACUGGGGAGUUAAUUACUGAUUGAAAUUCAUUUAUUCAUAUAUUCGUUCUACCAGCAUUUUCUGAGUACAUAUUAUGUGCCAAAAUACCAAUGUGAACACAGGAAAUAAAGCACUGAAAAAACAGACAAGGUCCUUGCUUUCAUGAAACUUAGGUAGGGGUGUGUGUGUGUGUGCGCGUGUGUGUGUGUGUUGGUUGAGUGGG